CCUACGGGAGGCUGCAGUGGGGAAUAUUGGACAAUGGGGGCAACCCUGAUCCAGCCAUGCCGCGUGUGUGAAGAAGGCCCUCGGGUUGUAAAGCACUUUCAGUGAGGAAGAACGCCUGGUGGUUAAUACCCAUCAGGAAAGACAUCACUCACAGAAGAAGCACCGGCUAACUCCGUGCCAGCAGCCGCGGUAAUACGGAGGGUGCGAGCGUUAAUCGGAAUUACUGGGCGUAAAGCGCGCGUAGGUGGCUUGAUAAGCCGGUUGUGAAAGCCCCGGGCUCAACCUGGGAACGGCAUCCGGAACUGUCCAGCUAGAGUGCAGGAGAGGAAGGUAGAAUUCCCGGUGUAGCGGUGAAAUGCGUAGAGAUCGGGAGGAAUACCAGUGGUGAAGGCGGCCUUCUGGACUGACACUGACACUGAGGUGCGAAAGCGUGGGUAGCAAACAGGAUUAGAUACCCUAGUAGUC
rnacentral:rRNA from 1 species